rnacentral:rRNA from 1 species
UACGGAGGGUGCAAGCGUUAAUCGGAAUUACUGGGCGUAAAGCGCACGCAGGUGGCUGAGUCAGUCGAUUGUGAAAGCCCUGGGCUUAACCUGGGAAUUGCAGUCGAUACUACUCAGCUAGAGUAUGGGAGAGGGUAGUGGAAUUCCCGGUGUAGCGGUGAAAUGCGUAGAUAUCGUGAGGAACACCAGAGGCGAAGGCGGCUGACCCUGGACAAUCGCUGACGCUCAGGCACGAAAGCGUGGGGAGCAAAAGGG